GUGAGGAAUUUUCCGCAAUGGGCGAAAGCCUGACGGAGCAAUGCCGCGUGAAGGAUGAAGGCCUAUGGGUUGUAAACUUCUUUUCUCAGAAAAGAAUUAUGACGGUAUCUGAGGAAUAAGCAUCGGCUAACUCUGUGCCAGCAGCCGCGGUAAGACAGAGGAUGCAAGCGUUAUCCGGAAUGAUUGGGCGUAAAGCGUCUGUAGGUUGUUUAAAAAGUAUUCUGUCAAAGAUUAGGGCUUAACCCUAGAUAGGCAGAAUAAACUUUUAAGCUAGAGUUUGGUAGAGGCAGAGGGAAUUCCCGGUGGAGCGGUGAAAUGCGUAGAUAUCGGGAGGAACACCAAAUGCGAAGGCACUCUGCUGGGCCAAUACUAACACUGAGAGACGAAAGCGAGGGGAGCAAAUGGGAUUAGAUACCCCAGUAGUCC
rnacentral:rRNA from 1 species